UGCACCUUCAAACAGUUACGUCAGAUCACAUACUCCAGCAGCUCUUUUAAGAAGUCAUCUCUUAAAGCUGCUAGAAUUAACAGGGAACUCAAUGCUGAUCUUGAAGAAGCUGCCAAGGAGGCUGAACAAGUCCUUCAGUGAUUCAACUCUUCACAGUAAUGUUGAACACAUUCAGCUAGAACUGAUUUGCUUUAAUGAACGCAUCCUUAUUUUAUGUGUUAAUAAUAGCUUUCCUUACAGUCCUUCCUCUCAAAUAUUUUGGUCACAGAUUAUAUUUUGCACAUUGUUUUAACAUGUAUAUAUUUCUCUUUGUUUCAGCUGAGAGGAAGACCAAAGGAAGGCCUGUCCUGGGAUGUGAUUUCGGCCGUAUUGUGCGUUUAUGGAGAAGACCCAAAGCUGCAAAGACAAAUGCUGAAGACCAAAAAUGCAAAGAAAAUCAGUCACAGCAAGUCAACAGGCAAACCAGUCCUGAUGAAUGAGGAAUGAACAUGGUCUUCUUCUGCCCAAACAGAAAAGAGAAAGCUGGAAAGUUGCACAUUUCCACUGAUCCUAGAAUGAGCAAAUCAGCUGUGCAUCAUCUGUGGGAUUUAGGCAGGAAAUGACUGAAUAUGGAGGAUGAAGCCAGUUGGUGAAGAUAUCAAUUCAAUGGCCACCAAGUGAAGCACUGCUGCCUGAACCCAUCAGAUAUCUGCUGUGAAGACUUAAUUCACGAACAACUCUACUGUGAAAGCGCAGAAGUUACAGCCCAUAAAAGAAACAAGAUAGUGGUGGAGGGAUUCUUUUAGCCCAUACCUCCAACAAGAAUCAAUGGACAUCAAGACCAGGUGGUGUGUGAGAAAAGCAUGGAGGACCGUCAGAGACUCCAGCCACCCGAGCCAUGGAUUGCUUUCACCGUUACCAUCAGGCAGAUGUUAUCGCAGAACCUUCACCAGCAGACUGCAAGACAAGUUCUUUCCACAGACAAUCAGACUGAACUGAACUCGUACCAGUAACACCGCACACAGCACACCAACCAAUUAUGCACUGCACUCUAUCACUUACACUGACUGGACUCUGACUCACUAUUAUUCUGCAUCCUGACAAUCUGUUUGCACUAAUUCAUACCGUACUGCACUGCAAAGGUAUAUGUGUACUGUGAUUAUUGUUUUCAUUUCAUGCUGUCUGUAUAGUAUAAUAUUUACCAUAUGGUGUUCUCUAUCUGUAUUGAGUCCCAUAUAUGUGUGUGUUGCAUAUAUAUUCAAUAUUUGUCAUCCAUAAUGUCAUGCUGCAGUUUGCACAAAAGACUUUCACCACCUGUACACUUGCGUUCAUGGUAUUGUGACAAUAAAGUGAUUUGAUUUUAA